rnacentral:rRNA from 1 species
UCCUACGGGAGGCAGCAGUAGGGAAUCUUCCGCAAUGGACGAAAGUCUGACGGAGCAACGCCGCGUGAGUGAUGAAGGUUUUCGGAUCGUAAAACUCUGUUGUUAGGGAAGAACAAGUGCUAGUUGAAUAAGCUGGCACCUUGACGGUACCUAACCAGAAAGCCACGGCUAACUACGUGCCAGCAGCCGCGGUAAUACGUAGGUCCCGAGCGUUGUCCGGAUUUAUUGGGCGUAAAGCGAGCGCAGGUGGUUUAAUAAGUCUGAUGUAAAAGGCAGUGGCUCAACCAUUGUGUGCAUUGGAAACUGUUAGACUUGAGUGCAGAAGAGGAAAGUGGAAUUCCAUGUGUAGCGGUGAAAUGCGUAGAGAUGUGGAGGAACACCAGUGGCGAAGGCGACUCUCUGGUCUGUAACUGACACUGAGGCGCGAAAGCGUGGGGAGCAAACAGGAUUAGAUACCCUGGUAGUCCACGCCGUAAACGAUGAGUGCUAAGUGUUAGAGGGUUUCCGCCCUUUAGUGCUGAAGUUAACGCAUUAAGCACUCCGCCUGGGGAGUACGGCCGCAAGGCUGAAACUCAAAGGAAUUGACGGA